CUUGCCCAUGUAUGAUAUAUUUUAUAUGUACAUAAAUGUAAUAUAAUGAAACUUUUUCUUGUUUUAAAUUGGCAGAAACGGAAAUCAGAAGACACAUAAAAUUGUAUCAAGCUGCACUACGUGGUGAUUGGAAGUAUGUGAUAGAUUCACGUAAUAUAACAGCUAAGUUAUCUGAGAAAGAAGAUACCGCUCUCCACAUUGGGGCUAUGGCAAAGUCCUGUAAAUUUGCUAGAGAACUGCUUCGUAAGCUGGAUAGAUUAGAGGAUUUAGUUGUGAGAAAUAAAUCUGGCAAUACGGCUUUUUGUCUUGCUGCUGUAUCCGGAAAGUUGGAACUUGCCAAGGAAAUGAUAAAAGUUGCCAAGAAAAUGGUAGAGGAUGAGAACUAUGGAAACUUAGAAAUGGCAAUGAUAAAAGAGAACGAAAAUGGAAACUUAAAAGAGGAGGAAACGAAUAAGAAAUUAAAAGAGGAGAUAAAGAAGAAGCAAUUAGAAGAGGUGGAAAUGAUGAAGAACAAUGGAGAGUACUUAGCACAGGUGAAAGGUAAUUGGGAAAUGUCACCACUUUUGUUCGCAGUUCUCUACGGCAGUGAAGAAAUGGUAUAUUGGCUUUAUUAUCUCACUAAAGCUUCGUUAAACGAUGCUGAUCGUAUCGUAUUGCUUCUUGCACUGAUAACAAAUGGUUUUCACGAAUUUGCGCUGCAAUUGCUAGAGGAACACAAUGAGUUAGCUACUGCUUAUUAUGAAACGGAGGAAAAGGAAACAGCAUUACAUGCCUUGGCUCAAUUGCCUGUUGCCAAUCAACAAGGAGUUUGGAAAAGAAUCAAGAGAUGCUUCAACCGAUAUCAUACGCUGCAAUUGCUAGAGAAAUAAGAAGAGUUGGCCAAUCAACAAGGACUUUGGGAAAAAAUCAAGAAAUGCUUCAAUCGAUUUUUAUGCAGUAUUGAAAAGCAGUCCCCAGAAAUGAAACUACUCCAACGCGUUUGGGAUCUAGCUACAUCCAGUCCUGACUUUGAUAAGAACUCAUGCAUUUUAGAAGUUGCCCGAAAACAGAUAUUUGUUGCUGCAAAACGAGGAAAUAUCGAGUUUUUAAAAAUACUUAUUCGUGAAUAUCCUGAUUUAAUAUUCCAAAUUAAUGAAAAGAAUAGUAGCAUAUUCCAAAUUUCUGUUAAGUAUCGUCACGUGGACAUCUUCAGACUUAUACAUGAAAUAAGUUCAGUCAAAGAUCUUAUAGUUCCCAUAACAGAUGAAAAAGGCAACAAUAUCUUCCAUUUGGCUGCGAAGUUGGCACCAUUACAUCGGCUCCAUAGCGUAUCAGGAGUGGCACUGCAAAUGCAGCGAGAAUUGAUGUGGUUUGAGGAAGUGAAAAAGCUUAUGAAUCCAUUUGAUGCUGAAGCUGAAAAUUCGUAUAGGAAAACUCCUAGAGCUUUAUUUAGUCAGGAACACCAGAAAUUAAAGGAUGAUGGAGAGAAAUGGAUGAAGGACACGGCAAACUAUUGCAUGGUUGUGGCAGCACUUAUUACCACUAUGGUUUUUGCUGCAGCUUUGGUUGUACCAGGUGGCACCAGUGACGAGACAGGGACUCCUCAUUUCCUUAAAAAAAGUUCUUUCAAAAUUUUUAUUGUAUCAGAUGCGAUUUCACUGGUAUUAUCCACUUGCUCCAUAGGAAGUUUCUUAUCCAUUCUCACUUCUCGCUACGCAGAAGAAGAUUUCCUUGAGUCGUUGCCAAGACAGUUGCUUGUUGGACUUGGAACACUUUUGUUAUCAAUAGCAGCAAUGAUGGUAGUGUUUUGUGCAGCUAUUUUUAUUCUCUUCAAAGAUGGAGUGGCAUGGAUUCCAAUUCUUGUUGCUGCAAUUGGUUCUUUGCCAGUCAUCUUCUUCAUUAUACAACAUGUGUGGCUCCUUAUUGAUGUGUGGCGUUCAACCAAUGGGAGUAGCUCUAUCUUCAAGCCAGGGAAGGGUACUCUUUUCUCCUAAAAAGGGAAGGCAAUGAAGCCUUAGAAGAGGAGAUAACUCAGUGUCUUCAACGAAUAAUGCCGUAGUUUGGGUGUAUGCUUUUAAGAUUUAUAUAGUUGUCCUUGUCCAUCAGAACACUACUAUUUCUUGUAAAUAAAUAAAAGGGACGAGCAAUGUCUGGUAUUUGAAAUGCAGUAGAGGGCAAUGAAUAA